CUCACCAGACUUCUAUGCUGCCGCCAUCAAAGGGACCGGCUCAUCUCCGGAAGACCUCUGCCCUGGGACAGCACCCUGGAACCCCAUCUUGCAUAUGAUCAGGCAAAAGGCCUUUGAGCCUUUUCUUCGGCAGCUCCCACAGACCCUACCACCCUGGAGAACACCUUGUGUUGUGAUGUAAAGG
rnacentral:sRNA from 1 species